AGGGUGAUGCCUGCCCAAUGGUUGUAUCUAAAAGCGGUUGAUAAAAGUCGACCUCGUAAGGACAAUUGAAUGGCCGCGGUAACACUGACCGUGAUAAUGUAGCGUAAUCAAUAGCCAAUUAAUUGUUGGCCAGUAUGAAUGGCGCCACGAAGGCCCCACUGUCUUAAGGAAAUUCCCAGUGAAAUUGAAUUCGUAGUGAAGAUGCUACGUCCAAUUUGUUAGACGAAAAGACCCCGUUGAGCUUUACUGGAGCACUUAUAUGGCCCCGGCCUUCCCAUGCCUGGGAACCGGCCGAAUUUAAAUGGGCGGCUUAGAUUAUGUGGCAGCCCCCCGCUGGGGCAAAUGAAACACCACUCCCCCAUGUCAAAGGGGCUAACCCCCCCCUUGGGGGGGACAGUGUAAGUAGGACAGUUUGGUUGGGGCGACCGCCUUUUAAAAAGUAACGAAGGUGCGCUUAAGGUGUGCAAUUAAUGACUGAAGCCUGACUGCGAGGGGGGUACCCCGAGCAGACACCCCUAAGCCCGCCCGAAGGG
rnacentral:rRNA from 1 species